GCCGCGAUAAUUUGAUCGUGCAAAGGUAGCAUAAUAAUUAGUUUCCCAAUUAGGAACUGGAAUGAAAGGUCGAACGAGAAAAAGACUGUCUCAAUUUAAUUUUAAUUAGAAUUUUAUUUUUAAGUUAAAAAGCUUAAAUUUUUUUAAAAGACGAGAAGACCCUAUAGAGUUUUAUAUUUAUUUUUUAAUUUUUAAUUUUAGAAUUAUUUUUAUAGAAUUAAUUUGUAAAUAUUUGAUUGGGGUGAUUGGAAAAUUAAAUAAACUUUUCUUUUUUAUAAACAUUAAUAAAUGAAUUGAUGAUCCAUAAUUUAUGAUUAAAAGAUUAAAUUACCUUAGGGAUAAAA
rnacentral:rRNA from 1 species